GACGAACGCUGGCGGCGUGCCUAACACAUGCAAGUCGAGCGGAGAGGAGAAAGCUUGCUUUCGAAUCUUAGCGGCGGACGGGUGAGUAACGCGUGAGCAACCUGCCUUUCACUGGGGGAUAACGCAUCGAAAGAUGUGCUAAUACCGCGUAAGACCACAGCAUCGCAUGGUGCAGGGGUCAAAGGAGCAAUCCGGUGGAAGAUGGGCUCGCGUCCGAUUAGCUAGUUGGUGAGAUAACAGCCCACCAAGGCGACGAUCGGUAGCCGACCUGAGAGGGUGAUCGGCCACAUUGGAACUGAGAGACGGUCCAG
rnacentral:rRNA from 1 species